GUAUUGGCAGUGUGUGUGUGUUCAUAUUGGACAGUUUCUUUUUCCCCCCUUAAAUGUCUGCUCACUGUUUCUCUCCUAAAAUGUCUCCUAGUCUGUAUCAGUUUCCUAAAAACCUCAACAAUCUCUCUAUCCCUUUACUAAUUGCCUUCCCGGUCUGUUCCCUUUCCCUAAAUUUAUCACUGGUCUCUCUGCUUUCCCUUAUGAGUCUAUUCACUAAACAGUGAUUUGAAAAAGUUGAGAUGACUUUAUACAACUCUUCUGUUU